rnacentral:rRNA from 1 species
UACGUAGGGUCCGAGCGUGUCCGGAAUUACUGGGCGUAAAGAGCUCGUAGGUGGUUUGUCGCGUUGUUCGUGAAAACUCACAGCUCAACUGUGGGCGUGCGGGCGAUACGGGGCAGACUAGAGUACUGCAGGGGAGACUGGAAUUCCUGGUGUAGCGGUGGGAAUGCGCAGAUAUCAGGAGGAACACCGGUGGCGAAGGCGGGUCUCUGGGCCGAUACUGACUGAGGAGCGAAAGCGUGGGGGAGCGA